rnacentral:rRNA from 1 species
AGAGUUUGAUCCUGGCUCAGAAUCAACGCUGGCGGCGCGCUUAACACAUGCAAGUCGAACGAGAAAGGGGAGCAAUCCCUGAGUACAGUGGCGUACGGGUGAGUAACACGUGGAUGAUCUACCUUCUGGUGUGGAAUAACCCUGGGAAACCGGGGCUAAUACCGCAUAAGCUCGAGAGAGGAAAGCAGCAAUGCGCCGGAAGAGGAGUCCGCGGCCGAUUAGCUAGUUGGCAGGGUAAAAGCCUACCAAGGCGAAGAUCGGUAGCCGGCCUGAGAGGGCACACGGCCACACUGGCACUGAAACACGGGCCAGACUCCUACGGGAGGCAGCAGUGGGGAAUCUUGCACAAUGGGGGCAACCCUGAUGCAGCGACGCCGCGUGAGCGAUGAAGCCCUUCGGGGUGUAAGGCUCUUUCGGCAGGGAAGAUGAUGACGGUACCUGCAGAAGCAGCUGCGGCUAACUACGUGCCAGCAGCCGCGGUAAUACGUAGGCAGCGAGCGUUGUUCGGAGUUACUGGGCGUAAAGGGUGUGUAGGCGGUUGUUUAAGUUUGGUGUGAAAUCUCCCGGCUCAACUGGGAGGGUGCGCCGAAUACUGAAUGACUAGAGUGCGGGAGAGGAGAGUGGAAUUCCUGGUGUAGCGGUGAAAUGCGUAGAUAUCAGGAGGAACACCGGUGGUGUAGACGGCUCUCUGGACCGUAACUGACGCUGAGACACGAAAGCGUGGGUAGCAACAGGAUUAGAUACCCUGGUAGUCCACGCCCUAAACGAUGCAUAUUUGGUGUGGGCAGUUCAUUCUGUCCGUGCCGGAGCUAACGCGUUAAAUAUGCCGCCUGGGGAGUACAGUCGCAAGGCUGAAACUCAAAGGAAUUGACGGGGGCCCGCACAAGCGGUGGAGCAUGUGGUUCAAUUCGACGCAACGCGAAGAACCUUACCUGGGCUCGAACGGCCGGUCAACGGAGGUGGAAACAUCUUUACCCCGCAAGGGGGUCCGGUCGAGGUGCUGCAUGGCUGUCGUCAGCUCGUG